rnacentral:piRNA from 1 species
UCCUGGUUAACAGAAAAUGCCAGAUUGAUGUC